GACUCGAUCCUGGGUCUCCAGGAUCGCGCCCUGGGCCAAAGGCAGGCGCCAAACCGCUGCGCCACCCAGGGAUCCCUCGAUUGCAUUUUCUAAAAUUUUCCUUUCGUUGACAAACACAAAGGUUAAAAACUACUGGGGCACCCCGGUGGCUCAGUGGUUGAGCAUCCGCCUUUGGCUCAGGGUGCGAUCCUGGAGCCUGGGAUCGAGUCCCGCGUCCGACUCCCUCCCUGCUUGGAGCCUGCUUCUCCCUCUGCCUGUGUCUCUGCCUCUCUCUCUCUCUGUGUCCCUCAUGAAUAAAUAAAUAAAAUCUUAAAAAAAAAAAAAAAAAGAUUGUGUGUCUGUGUAUCCUCCACUGUAUGCUAGUUGCCCAAUAAAUUUGGCUCAAUGAUCAUCUUUGUCUUUUUAACAUAUAUAAAAGCACAAUUUACUUAAUUGUCCUAUCUGAAUUAUAAAUCUUUUUUUUUUUUUACAGGUGAAAUUGUUACCUAACUAGUCACCUUUAACCGUAAAAAAAUAAGCACAUUCAUCCAAAUAAUGGGAAACAGCUUUUGCAUGUUAGUACUGUUUACAUUCUUAUAAAAGGAUCCUUUUCACACGCUGUUUGAAAUUGCUUGUCUUGCCAUGUACUUCUGGGACUGCAAGUCAGGAUGACUCAGUUCAUUUGAGAGUUGAAAAAGUUGGGAGAAAGAGAGAGGCAGAGACACAGGCAGAGGGAGAAGCAGGCUCCAUGCAGGGAGCCCAACGUGGGACUCGAUCCGGGGACUCCAGGAUCACACCCUGGGCCAAAGGCAGGCACUGAACCACUGAGCUACCCAGGGAUCCCUAUACUCUCUCUCCUAAACAGUUGAAUUUGGACCUUUCUCCCACCAUGUCUUCUAUCUAUAUGUAUGGACCAUCUCAGUGUCCAUGCUUAUGGUGAUGAGAUUUUAGGGACCGUGGAAAUGGCCCUUUGACCCCAAAUCUAGAUAAAACUUUUAUAGUUGUAA